GGGCUGGCCCGGUGGUCCAUCGCCUUUGGCGGUGGUACCGCUUUCGUGGUCGGUCCUUUCCUCCUGUGCAAGCCGGUAGCGCACUUAACUGGGCGCGGCCGGGGCGCCAGGACUUUUACUUUGAAAAAAUUAGAGUGUUCAAAGCAGGCGCACGCCUGAAUACAUUAGCAUGGAAUAAUAGAAUAGGACUAUGGUCCGAUUUUGUUGGUUUCUCGGACCACAGUA
rnacentral:rRNA from 1 species